GCCGGACGGCGCGAGCGUUGUUCGGAAUCACUGGGCGUAAAGGGCGCGUAGGCGGCGCCGGCAGUCGGCCGUGAAAGCCCGGGGCUCAACCCCGGAGGUGCGGCCGAGAGGACGGUGCUGGAGGCCGGAAGAGGAGGGUGGAAUACCCUGUGUAGAGGUGAAAUUCGUAGAUAUUGGGUGGAGCACCGGUGGCGAAAGCGGCUCUCUGGUCCGGACCUGACGCUGUGGCGAGAAAGCGUGGGGAGCAAACAGG
rnacentral:rRNA from 1 species